rnacentral:rRNA from 1 species
AGCGAACGCUGGCGGCAGGCCUAACACAUGCCAGUCGAACGAACCUUUCGGGGUUAGUGGCGGACGGGUGAGUAACACGUGGGAACGUGCCUUUAGGUUCGGAAUAACUCAGGGAAACUUGUGCUAAUACCGAAUGUGCCCUUCGGGGGAAAGAUUUAUCGCCUUUAGAGCGGCCCGCGUCUGAUUAGCUAGUUGGUUGAGGUAAUGGCUCACCAAGGCGGCGAUCAGUAGCUGGUCUGAGAGGAUGAUCAGCCACAUUGGGACUGAGACACGGCCCAAAAUCCUACGGGAGGGAGCAGUGGGGAAUAUUGCGCAAUGGGCGAAAGCCUGACGCAGCCAUGCCGCGUGAAUGAUGAAGGGCUUAGGAUUGUAAAAUUCUUUCACCGGGGACGAUAAUGACGGUACCCGGAGAAGAAGCCCCGGCUAACUUCGUG